rnacentral:rRNA from 1 species
GAUGAACGCUGGCGGCGUGCCUAAUACAUGCAAGUCGAGCGAAUGGAUUAAGAGCUUGCUCUUAUGAAGUUAGCGGCGGACGGGUGAGUAACACGUGGGUAACCUGCCCAUAAGACUGGGAUAACUCCGGGAAACCGGGGCUAAUACCGGAUAACAUUUUGAACCGCAUGGUUCGAAAUUGAAAGGCGGCUUCGGCUGUCACUUAUGGAUGGACCCGCGUCGCAUUAGCUAGUUGGUGAGGUAACGGCCCACAAAGGCAACGAUGCGUAGCCGACCUGGGAGGGUGAUCGGCCACACUGGGACUGAGACACGGCCCAGACUCCUACGGGAGGCAGCAGUAGGGAAUCUUCCGCAAUGGACGAAAGUCUGACGGAGCAACGCCGCGUGAGUGACGAAGGCUUUCGGGUCGUAAAACUCUGUUGUUAGGGAAGAACAAGUGCUAGUUGAAUAAGCUGGCACCUUGACGGUACCUAACCAGAAAGCCACGGCUAACUACGUGCCAGCCGCCGCAGUAA